rnacentral:rRNA from 1 species
UACAGAGGAGCCAAGCGUUGUCCGGAUUGACUGGGCGUAAAGCGCACGCAGGCGGAUGCGCGCGUGGGGUGUGAAAUCUGGCCGCUUAACGGCCAGGCGCCAUCCCAUACGGCGCGUCUGGAGUGAUGCAGAGGUCGAUGGAAUUGCCGGUGUAGUGGUGAAAUGCGUAGAGAUCGGCAGGAACACCCAGGGGGAAACCAG